CCUGUUCUGUUUCUGUAGCAGCAUAGCAUGUGGGUGAGGCAUCCAGCCAUCCAAGAUCAGAGUACAGAGGCUGUAUUUGCUUUCCAUGAGAUUCAGUUCAGUUCGUCACUGCAUCGUUGUUCAGUUCCUCACUGCAUCGUUGUUCAGAAACCAAUCAACUAACUAAUUUGUAAUGUGAGGCAGCAGCCAUUUUUUGUUCGAGUACAGAGCACAGAUUCAGUUCAGUUCCAAAUUAGGAAGCAUGUGUUGUUGCAUCCUGUAAUCAUGGGGGAAUUCGGUUGUAGAGUGCAGAGAGGAGUCUUCCUAAUUCUGACCUAGAUGAAGGUACCACACUCCUCGCUCCUGGUCAGAUAUUGCAGCAGCAGCAGCGUUCCAUAUAUUUUUCAGCCAUCUCGGUUUUGAGAAACAAAAAAUAAUAUUUUUCUGUCUUCAUAUCAGGUGAGGUGGAAGCUGUAACGUAUCAAGUGAUGAGUUUCUUGCGCUCCUCGAGAUUUUGACUGAAGACGAGUCUAGUGGCCGGCAAAGACAAAAACCCUAUUGAAAGUCCAGCGAAUGAUUUUCGAUCAUGUUGUCGAGAUUUGGCUGAUAUUGUUUACGGUGGUUUGUAGCACCGUUGGAUAAAACUUGAGGCUGCUAAAAAUGGUGCCAUGUUGUUUAGGUUAGCUACACACUUCUGUGACUGUUACCAUUCAUAAAUCAGUUUCAUAAUUAACUGAUGGUAGAAAUUAAAACCAGGUAGGUGGCACUCUUUCCUGUGUAUGUAUGUAUCGAGUUUUUUCUUUCUGGCCAUAUUGUUGAGCUUCUGAGCUAUGGCAAAUCUGAUCAAGCAACGACACUUUGGUUAUCGUCAUUCGUCUUUGUGCUUGUCGUCGCUUGAUUGGAUUUGCCAUAGCUCAGAAACCGAAUAGUCCUCCCGCCAUCGGUGUGUAGGGGGCAGUAUGUGGCUGUUCUUCUCGGGCCUCGCCGGCAUGGCUUGGUGAUCCACCGAGUUCGAAGAUGGUGGCGCACCAUUAGCCAUGGAACCUGUGCAUCUUUGUUCAUGGCCGUCUGGAAAGGGGGGAUCCAGGUAAGGCGUCGAUGGUGGCUUGGAGUGAAAACACCAACCCAUGAGACCAGCAAUGCAUCUCUUCUUCAUGGAGAAGGACAUAGCUAGACCAUGGUGAUGGUGCUGUCGGUUCAAGGCACCGUCAACGUCUCAUCUUCAGGUCAGUUUAUGUCUGUCUGCAUAGUCUGUUGCGGCAUGG
rnacentral:lncRNA from 1 species